CCUGGCGGCAGUAGCGCGGUGGUCCCACCUGACCCCAUGCCGAACUCAGAAGUGAAACGCCGUAGCGCCGAUGGUAGUGUGG
rnacentral:rRNA from 2 species